CAGCAGCCACGGUAAUACGUAGGUGGCGAGCGUUGUCCGGAAUUAUUGGGCGUAAAGGGAGCGCAGGCGGGCGAGUAAGUCUUUCUUAAAAGUGCGGGGCUCAACCCCGUGAGGGGAGAGAAACUACUCAUCUUGAGUGCAGGAGAGGAAAGCGGAAUUCCUAGUGUAGCGGUGAAAUGCGUAGAUAUUAGGAAGAACACCAGUGGCGGAGGCGGCUUUCUGGACUGUAACUGACGCUGAGGCUCGAAAGCCAGGGGAGCGAACGGGAUUAGAUACCCCCGUAGUCCCUGUCUCUUAUACA
rnacentral:rRNA from 1 species